GAAUGCGAUGGAGGAGAAGUCGGCUCUGCCACUGCCGAUCUGCUGCUUUGCGGUGCUUAGCUGAAGCUUCUGCACUGUUGCUGCCGAAGGAGGAGGAAGCCUUGCCAUUGUUCUGGUCGCCAGGAGCAGUCCGGUGGCUACCGGAACCACUGUCGGGGAUGCCGCCGCUUGGCUCAGUCACUUCUCCUUAGUUACGGGCUGAGUUCGAGUUAUGGCAUGUCACGGUUAGAGUUGUUGUUGCUGUUACGAGUAGUUGGGGCUGAGGUUGCCUCCGUCGCCGGAGCUGUGCCGGGGCCGGUUCGAAACCGCAGCUGCUUCGUGUUGUUAUUCCGAGCUGUUUAUGCUGCUGCGAAAAUGUGUGGGGCUGUGCUUUGAAGCUGCCUUCGAUUUUGAGUUGAGGUGAAAAGAACUUAUGAGGCGCUUGGAUUAUGGAAAUGUGUUUUGAGGUAGGGGCGCUUUCCAAAAACUAUAGUUUAUUAUUGGAAUUAUUACAUAUGGGUACUGAUGUGAGAUAUUGUGUAUUUGGUGAUUGUA